rnacentral:rRNA from 1 species
UACGUAGGGUGCAAGCGUUGUCCGGAAUUAUUGGGCGUAAAGAGCUCGUAGGCGGUCUGUCGCGUCGGAAGUGAAAACCCGGGGCUCAACCCCGGGCCUGCUUUCGAUACGGGCAGACUAGAGUUCGGCAGGGGAGACUGGAAUUCCUGGUGUAGCGGUGAAAUGCGCAGAUAUCAGGAGGAACACCGGUGGCGAAGGCGGGUCUCUGGGCCGAUACUGACGCCGAGGAGCGAAAGCGUGGGGAGCGAACAGG